rnacentral:lncRNA from 1 species
UUUAAGAUGAAGAUCUGUUUGAAUUCUGAUGCAAUUAAUCUUGGAAAAGGUGAACUUUUCCAUUAGGUGCACAGUUCUCAUUCAAAACUGAACUUGUGAAAGCCAUUGCAGCUGUGGCCAGCCUCUGACCAUCUUACUGUGGACCCAGUCCCCCCAAAACAGUCCCCUACGAAAUGAUCCACCAUAGUUUGAAUACAGUUGCAUUGAAGUCCACCAAUUAGAUCACUGCAGAAGGGCACGAGAAGGUGGAAGGGCAAUUAGCUUAUGAGAGGCCCUGGGAGGCUACAGUAUUUCCCUGUUUGACUUAAAUGUUACUUAGCUCUAACUGACUAUCUAGUUGUACUUAUACACCCAAAUGUUUUCUUCUUCCUUUUCUGGUAUUUACCCGACCUAAGACUAUCUUCAUCCUGUAAGAGCCUCAUAGAAGUUCCGUGAGCACAGAAGCACCCAGUCAUCAUUAAAUAUUUGCCAAGCUGUUAAAAUAAGUCCUCACAGUGUCACAGUGGGUUUGGGCACUUAGCAACCAUCACAGCUUCUAUACAGAUGCUCCAGGGCAGCAGUCACCUCCUCCAUAUGCGCUACAUGAGGAAAAAGCUGCAGGAAGAAAGAAUGAAUGAAAACAGUGCAAGUGUGAAGGGAAGGGGAAAGUUUCUUCUACUCCGUGGGCUCUGAGGAUCAGGCAGCACUCCAUCAUCAUCUUGGGAAGGUGAGGUAUGGAAAGUGGCAAGAUCACAUUCAAGUCCAUAGACUGUGUCCAGAGAUGCCCAGGCCCUUCUUGCUCCUCUUCAUGCUCUUGGACUUCUAACUACCCAU